rnacentral:rRNA from 1 species
AGUCGGCAAAUUGGAUCCGUAACUUCGGAAUAAUGAUUGGCUCUGAGGAGCGGGGCGUGUCGGGCUUGGUCGGGAAGCGGGUUUGGCUGACGUGCCGGGCCUGGGCGAGCUGAACGGGACACGGCGUAUCUCUCUCGGGGGAUAUUGUCGCGCACCCCGGAUCCGAGCUCGGUCCCGUGCCUUGGCCUCUCGCGUAUCUCCCUUGCUGCGAGGCUUCCGCGGCCGUUUUACCGUCGCGGUCGUUCUCUUCGGCCGCCAUUCAACGCUCAGCUCAGAACUGGCACGAACUGGGGGAGUCCGACUACCUAAUUAAAACAAAGCAUUGCGAUGGCUCCCAAGGGUGUUGACGCAAUGAGAUUUCUGCCCAGUGCUUUGAAUGUCAACGUGAACAAAUUCAAAAAAGUGCGGGUAAACGGCGGGAGUAACUAUGACUCUCUUAAGGAAGUCUCUUAAGUCUCUUAAGGAAGGAAGAAAUGGAGUCUGCAUCUA